GCCGGAGUAGCUCAGUUGGUAGAGCGCCUGUCUUGUAAACAGGGGGUCAGCGGUUCGAGUCCGCUCUCCGGCU
rnacentral:tRNA from 1 species